rnacentral:rRNA from 1 species
AUCAUGGCUCAGANUGAACGCUGGCGGCGUGCUUAACACAUGCAAGUCGAACGAGAAAGGGAUUGCUUGCAAUCCUGAGUAGAGUGGCGCACGGGUGAGUAACACGUAGAUAAUCUACCUUCAAGUCCGGGAUAACUAUUCGAAAGGGUAGCUAAUACCGGAUAAAGUUUUAACCUACAAGGGNUGUUAUGAAAGAUUGCCUCUGCUUUAAGCAAUUGUUUGGAGAUGAGUUUGCAUACCAUUAGCUUGUUGGUGGGGUAACAGCCUACCAAGGCAACGAUGGUUAGCUGGUCUGAGAGGAUGAUCAGCCACACUGCAACUGGAACACGGUCCANACUCCUACGGGAGGCAGCAGUGANGAAUUUUGCGCA